rnacentral:tRNA from 1 species
CAAGACGUAGCUUAUACUAAAGCAUUCAGCUUACACCUGAAAGAUGUCUGCUAACCCCAGAUCGUCUUGA